AUUGGCACUCUGAGAUUCUUCUGAAUGAAGAGUGCAUUACAAAUAAAAUGAAUUAUUAUUAUUAUUAUUAUUAUUAUCUAUUGUCUCAACCCUAGCAGAUAAUCAGGUUCAGGGUUAGGUUCUACACUGAGUAGUGACUGAUACAAAAUUAAUAAUGCAAACAACUCCAACCAUUGUCCCAUAAGUGCUUCAUCUGCAGAUUCUGACCUUUUGUGUGUAUUUUGUUUGGUUCUCCUCCAGAUUCUGAGGGUGACAGAGGAGUACUGUGGCGUGUGUGUGAAGAUGUGUUUCAGAUGACUGCCCAAGAGCACACACACCUCAUCCUGAGUGUGUGCUGCGUUGCACUAUGUGGAGAUGAGCUACGAGACUUACUGGGAUCGGAUGAUACACAAUUAAAUCUACGCAUCAUGGAGGAUCGGAAUGGUAGAACUGGGGUGGAAGGAGCUGUGGAGAUCCCACUGAGUUCCCUGGAAGAUCUGCGACACGUCCUGGAGUGUGUGUCUGACGUGAACCACCAGCGCUCGUCCUCACACACACUCUUUUGGCUGCGGCUCAGGCGGCGCUUAGACAGCAGUUCCCAGGAUGCGUUGCUCUCCACACUAUUGCUGGUGGACCUGGCCGGCUGGGAGCGUGAUUCCGGACUGGUGAACGCCGGCACCCCCAGAUUCAAACGCUCCCUCCAGAUCGGCACAGAGCUCAGGACUCUAGCCGACAUGAUUCAGCGGGACACACUCCCCCACGCCACCCCGCGGAGUCACACACACCCCUCCCGCGCCCCGCCUAGCCGCGCGCACACGCCAUGCACUCCCCUCACACGGUUAGAUUCAGGUUCAGACUCACCAACCGGUCAUCGAUACGCUGCAUAUCCAUCAAUCCAUUGCACCUCCGCACACACACACACACACUCACCGCUGAUGAGAUUGCUGCAGAACUCCCUAUCUGGCUCCGCCCACACCCUUCUAUUGGUGUGUGUUAGCCCCGCCCAGUCUAGUCUGACUGACACGGUCAGCUGUCUGAUGCUAGCUGCACGUGCUCAAGACAAAUCUUCAUGCACAGACCCGAGAGGCGUGCCCACACGCACACACACCCCGCUUGUGGCACACACACACGGCCCCCUCGUGCACCAC
ensembl:lncRNA